GGCGGACGGGUGAGUAAUGCUUAGGAAUCUGCCUAUUAGUGGGGGACAACGUUCCGAAAGGAACGCUAAUACCGCAUACGCCCUACGGGGGAAAGCAGGGGAUCUUCGGACCUUGCGCUAAUAGAUGAGCCUAAGUCGGAUUAGCUAGUUGGUGGGGUAAAGGCCUACCAAGGCGACGAUCUGUAGCGGGUCUGAGAGGAUGAUCCGCCACACUGGGACUGAGACACGGCCCAGACUCCUACGGGAGGCAGCAGUGGGGAAUAUUGGACAAUGGGCGGAAGCCUGAUCCAGCCAUGCCGCGUGUGUGAAGAAGGCCUUUUGGUUGUAAAGCACUUUAAGCGAGGAGGAGGCUCCUUUAGUUAAUACCUAAAGAGAGUGGACGUUACUCGCAGAAUAAGCACCGGCUAACUCUGUGCCAGCAGCCGCGGUAAUACAGAGGGUGCGAGCGUUAAUCGGAUUUACUAGGCGUAAAGCGUGCGUAGGCGGCUUUUUAAGUCGGAUGUGAAAUCCCUGAGCUUAACUUAGGAAUUGCAUUCGAUACUGGAAAGCUAGAGUAUGGGAGAGGAUGGUAGAAUUCCAGGUGUAGCGGUGAAAUGCGUAGAGAUCUGGAGGAAUACCGAUGGCGAAGGCAGCCAUCUGGCCUAAUACUGACGCUGAGGUACGAAAGCAUGGGGAGCAAACAGGAUUAGAUACCCUGGUAGUCCAUGCCGUAAACGAUGUAUACUAGCCGUUGGGGCCUUUGAGGCUUUAGUGGCGCAAGCUA
rnacentral:rRNA from 1 species